rnacentral:rRNA from 1 species
UAGGCUGCAACUCGCCUACACGAAGCUGGAAUCGCUAGUAAUCGCGGAUCAGCACGCCGCGGUGAAUACGUUCCCGGGCCUUGUACACACCGCCCGUCACACCAUGGAAGUCUGCAAUGCCCGAAGCCGGUGGCCUAACCACUUAUGUGGAAGGAGCCGUCUAAGGCAGGGCAGAUGACUGGGGUGAAGUCGUAACAAGGUAAC